ACAAAAACAAGAUCCAUAAUUAAGCUAACCAAUAUGACGACGACCACGAUGGUGAUGACUUGUACAUUCCUGGUGAUGUUGUCCAUUACCCUAUCCGCCUCACAAGCCCUCACAAACGACGAUAUCAACAACAUCUGCGAUGCUGUCAGCGCCAUUGGCAACUGUUCGUCAUGUAACUGGUGUUCAGUGAGAGAAGGCUUUCCUUUAACAGUAAAGACGCUGUGUCGAAAUACGGCUUUUGCAGUGAGACGGUUCUAGGCUUCCAGUGUUCGAACAUCACCGACUUCUAUACCCAACACUGUUCAUCCAUCACCGCCUGGGCACAUCAGAUCGUGUGCCCCAUCGCACAACAGGCUGCUUCGUGCUUUGUUACAACGGCCUCACCUACAACGACGCCUACAACGACGCCUACAACGACUCCUACAACAACCCCUACAACAACACAAACUGCACUUCAAGGACCAGAGAUCGCUGAUCCAACGUUCCUGACCCCUUGUGUUCAACGAUGCGUCCGUAACGACUUAGUGGCAACUCUAUGCGGUAGUGGUGUGUUGACCGACGACUGUGUCAGUCUACUGGACCCAACACUUGAUGGUCGGUAUACCUGCUGUCAAGGAUAGCCAAGAUGAUGUCUCAUCACAGAUGCUUAACGCAAUAACAAUUUCUUCAACCUUCGGAGGAAGUCGCUGGGAGUCAAUUACAACCCUUGUUACAAUAGAAUAAAAUAGUUGCACACAA
rnacentral:lncRNA from 1 species